AGGAUGUUCGAGUUCUGAUCAGCUAGUCGUGUCGGCGGAGGGCUCGGGCAAGCUCAGAGCUGUUCUGGUGCCCGAUUCCUUGUUGACUGUGAGAUUAUUAUUUGGACAUUUAUCUAAAGGAAUGCUUUGAAGGUUGGCUUGAAGACGACUUCCUUCAGAUAAAGGAGGUGUGAUUUGCUGUCAGUGUCCUGAAGAAUUACCACCCCAGGACUAUCUGAACUGAAUUCUCACCUUGAGGUUUUUAAAGUCAUCCACACAGUCUGAAUUCAGCCUGUGAACAUGAAUGACUCUAACCGGAGACUACAAACUCCCGGGGGACUGUUUUCUCUCUUCUACUCAUCACAAAGUAGCCCACCCCAUUGGCUUUCAGUGCUAUACCAUACUUCUAGACCUUUGCAUAUAUGAUAAACAAAACUAUAAUUACUUUAAGGGACUGGUCACACAUAUUUAUAUUUAUGGGCUUUUCUUGAAGAUUUCUGCCUUUAGCAUCAUGCAAAAAAAAAACAUUUUCUCAGCACCAGUGUGUCAAGGUAACUUUCUAACUGGAUAGAAGUUACAGCCGCAUCUCUGAAGCAACAGUGGCCAAGGUGACUCCAUCUGCAACCAUGUAGCCUGUUGACAACUUUUCAGGUAUGCAUUUCUUGGAUACACAGUGGUCCAGAACGCAGUUUUCACAGUGACUCUCAUUAAAUCCGAGCAGAUAAUCUCCAUCAGACUACUGCUCCUUGGCCUGGAAGCGGUUGCUGAGUGAAGCAACCACUGGUUAAGAAGAAUGAGAAGUGUGUCCAAGUGCUCAUCUCAGGUUGUCACUCCUCUCCUGACCCCUCUCUCUCCAACUCCACAGAUCCUGGACACUUUGAGGACCAUUGUGUUAGGUCAGAAACAGCACAUCCCUGGGAAUAUGAGUAU